UACGUAGGGUGCGAGCGUUAAUCGGAAUUACUGGGCGUAAAGCGUGCGCAGGCGGUUUUGUAAGUCCGACGUGAAAUCCCCGGGCUUAACCUGGGAAUGGCAUUUGGGACUGCAAGGCUGGAGUGCGGCAGAGGAGACUGGAAUUCCUGGUGUAGCAGUGAAAUGCGUAGAUAUCAGGAGGAAUACCGAUGGCGAAGGCAGGUCUCUGGGCUGACACUGACGCUCAUGCACGAAAGCGUGGGGAGCAAACAGG
rnacentral:rRNA from 1 species